UACGUAGGGCGCAAGCGUUGUCCGGAAUUAUUGGGCGUAAAGGGCUCGUAGGCGGUCCAUCGCGUCGGGAGUGAAAAGCUGGGGCUUAACCCCAGUCCUGCUUCCGAUACGGGUGGACUAGAGGUAGGUAGGGGAGAACGGAUUUCCUGGUGUAGCGGUGAAAUGCGCAGAUAUCAGGAGGAACACCGGUGGCGAAGGCGGUUCUCUGGGCCUUACCUGACGCUGAGGAGCGAAAGCAUGGGGAGCAAACAGG
rnacentral:rRNA from 1 species